rnacentral:rRNA from 1 species
CAGGGCUUGACAUCCUACUAACGAACCAGAGAUGGAUUAGGUGCCCUUCGGGGAAAGUAGAGACAGGUGGUGCAUGGUUGUCGUCAGCUCGUGUCGUGAGAUGUUGGGUUAAGUCCCGCAACGAGCGCAACCCCUAUUGUUAGUUGCUACGCAAGAGCACUCUAGCGAGACUGCCGUUGACAAAACGGAGGAAGGUGGGGACGACGUCAAAUCAUCAUGCCCCUUACGUCCUGGGCCACACACGUACUACAAUGGCGGCCAACAAAGAGAGGCGAGACCGCGAGGUGGAGCAAAUCUCAAAAAGCCGUCCCAGUUCGGAUCGCAGGCUGCAACCCGCCUGCGUGAAGUUGGAAUCGCUAGUAAUCGCGGAUCAGCAUGCCGCGGUGAAUACGUUCCC